ACGACGACACCGUUUCAGAGCUCGUCACCAGCGAAAGGAGGAAGAAGAAGAUGAUGUUGGGCACAGUGAAGGUGCGGUGGAUCUUGGCGAUGAUGGUAGUUUCGCGGAGCAAACCGAGAGUAGAGUGGGAGAGAGAGAGAAGCCUUCUUUCUCUUCUUCUUCGCCGGCGAAGUCGUCUUCCGACGAGCCGGUGGUCACUCUGGUCUCUAUGGCGUCUAGCGACGGAGGGCGAGAAGAGUUGUACACCGAAAAGACGACGGAUGAUGCGUGGCGGAAUCUGGAGUACGAUUUCUAUCGGAACUCGUGCCCUCAUGCUGAGACCAUUGUGAGGUCGAAGAUGGCUUGGAUUUACGACCAGCACAGGAAUGUCUCGGCUCAGUUGCUCCGUCUUUUUUUUUCAUGACUGCUUCAUUGAGGGGUGUGAUGCCUCCGUUCUCUUGGAUGACAGCAAUGGGGAUAAAAAACCAUUAAUCUAUAGAGAAGCAGGCUACACUAAAUAGGUCCUUGAAGGUUACACCCAAAAAAAAAGGUCCUUGAAGGGAUUCGAUAAAGUUGAUCAGAUCAAGGAGGCGCUCGAAAAUGUUUUUCCAGGGGUGGUAUCUUGUGCCGAUGUACUUGCUUUUGGCACCAGAGAUGGCAUUAUCCUGGUGUGUUAAACUGCUAUAAUGAGUUUUUCUCUUCCUUCUAAUGAGUUUUUCUCUUCCUUCUCGUAGUUCCUUAGGAUUUACCUUUUACAUCAGAAACUCAGUCUUCAUGCUGAUGUGGUUGUAAUAUUGAAAAUGCCAACCCAAUGGGGUUAGUCUAGUGCAGUGUUACCUGGAUCGCGGAUCGUUUCGGUACGGGAACGCGGUACGGCCGGGUAUGCGGUACGUUAGCUAUCUAGGUACGUGGUACGCUAGGGUAUAUCUUAUUCAAUGUAUAUUAAUUGAUAUAUUGUAAAAGGAAAAUUCAUUAAGUAAUUUUUAAUGAAGAUAAAAUGAAUUUAAUC